UACGGAGGGUGCAAGCGUUAUCCGGAUUCACUGGGUUUAAAGGGUGCGUAGGUGGGCAGGUAAGUCAGUGGUGAAAUCUCUGGGCUUAACUCAGAAACUGCCAUUGAUACUAUCUGUCUUGAAUACCGUGGAGGUCAGCGGAAUAUGUCAUGUAGCGGUGAAAUGCUUAGAUAUGACAUAGAACACCAAUUGUGAAGGCAGCUGGCUACACGAAUAUUGACACUGAUGCACGAAAGCGUGGGGAUCAAACAGG
rnacentral:rRNA from 1 species